rnacentral:rRNA from 1 species
GACAGAGGGUGCAGACGUUGUUCGGAAUUACUGGGCGUAAAGCGCGUGUAGGCGGCUAAGUAAGUCGGGCGUGAAAUCCCACGGCUCAACCGUGGAAGUGCACUCGAAACUGCAUAGCUAGAGUCCUGGAGAGGAAGGUGGAAUGCUUGGUGUAGAGGUGAAAUUCGUAGAUAUCAAGCGGAACACCGGUGGCGAAGGCGGCCUUCUGGACAGUGACUGACGCUGAGACGCGAAAGCGUGGGGAGCAAACAGG